rnacentral:rRNA from 1 species
UGGAAGGGCCAUCGCUCAACGGAUAAAAGGUACUCCGGGGAUAACAGGCUGAUACCGCCCAAGAGUUCAUAUCGACGGCGGUGUUUGGCACCUCGAUGUCGGCUCAUCACAUCCUGGGGCUGAAGUAGGUCCCAAGGGUAUGGCUGUUCGCCAUUUAAAGUGGUACGCGAGCUGGGUUUAGAACGUCGUGAGACAGUUCGGUCCCUAUCUGCCGUGGGCGCUGGAGAACUGAGGGGGGCUGCUCCUAGUACGAGAGGACCGGAGUGGACGCAUCACUGGUGUUCGGGUUGUCAUGCCAAUGGCACUGCCCGGUAGCUAAAUGCGGAAGAGAUAAGUGCUGAAAGCAUCUAAGCACGAAACUUGCCCCGAGAUGAGUUCUCCCUGAGACUUAAAGUCUCCUGAAGGAACGUUGAAGACGACGACGUUGAUAGGCCGGGUG